AGUUAAUGAAGAGAACAUUGAGAGUGGCCUGCUAGCAAAAGCUGUCCUCUGUUGUCUGCUGAUGGAGAACAUGAGCUGCAAACAAACUAGCUCUCUGAACCUGGCUCUUUAAGUCUGGCCAAACCGAGCAACCCAGUUCCUUUGGCAAACAUAGUUUGUUGGUGCCUGCUACUGAUUAUUUUUCCCAAGACAGAAAUGUUGGACACAGUCUCGCUCAGAAGUAUUCACCUGAUCUCGGUGUACUUCACUAACAAAAGGCUUUAAGGAGAUGAAGAAGCCUUUGGGAUGACUUGCUGUUGUGAAAGGAAGGAAACGCUACAAUUCGGCUUUUCUUCUGCAAGGUACAGAAUAGAGGAUGAGGCGCUCGUGGGUCUCCGGCACGACGUCACUCUGUGUGCUGGAAGAGAGCGAGGAAACCAGCUGGGCUCACAGUGGAGGGCGUUGUGGAGCUGCAGACGUGAUGACAGCAACAUCUGCCACAGCACCUUGACAGUGAUUUACCUGCCAACCACCACGAUGUUCACAGAAGCUGAGUUUCUCUGGCUCCUGGAGCCAGCACUGGAAUAUCCAGUAGUAUUAGAGGCAGCUCUGAGACUUUGGUAAGAGCCACCACUUCCUGCAAAUGCCAUAUCUAUAUCUAUCAUAAGGAUUUAGCCAGCA
rnacentral:lncRNA from 1 species